rnacentral:tRNA from 1 species
GAUGAUGUGCCUGAGAAAGGAUUACAGUGAUAGUGUAAAUAACGUAAUUAAAUUACCUUCAUCA